GGGCCUGUAGCUCAGCUGGGAGAGCGCUACAAUCGCACUGUAGAGGUCAUGAGUUCGAAUCUCUUCAGGUCCA
rnacentral:tRNA from 1 species